CCUACGGGAGGCAGCAGUGAGGAAUAUUGGUCAAUGGGCGGGAGCCUGAACCAGCCAAGUCGCGUGAAGGAAGAAGGUACUUAGUAUUGUAAACUUCUUUUGUACGAGGGUAAACGCAGAUACGCGUAUCUGUCUGAAAGUAUCGUACGAAUAAGGAUCGGCUAACUCCGUGCCAGCAGCCGCGGUAAUACGGAGGAUUCAAGCGUUAUCCGGAUUUAUUGGGUUUAAAGGGUGCGUAGGCGGUCGGAUAAGUUAGAGGUGAAAUCCCGAGGCUCAACUUCGGAAUUGCCUCUGAUACUGUUCGGAUAGAGAGUAGUUGCAGUAGGCGGAAUGUAUGGUGUAGCGGUGAAAUGCUUAGAGAUCAUACAGAACACCGAUUGCGAAGGCAGCUUACCAAGGUACUUCUGACGUUGAGGCACGAAAGCGUGGGGAGCAAACAGGAUUAGAUACCCUUGUAGUC
rnacentral:rRNA from 1 species